GACAGAGGGUGCAAACGUUGUUCGGAAUUACUGGGCGUAAAGCGUGUGUAGGCGGUCGACUAAGUCGGAUGUGAAAGCCCUGGGCUCAACCCAGGAAGUGCACUCGAAACUGGUCGGCUAGAGUAUCGGAGAGGUUGGUGGAAUUCUCGGUGUAGAGGUGAAAUUCGUAGAUAUCGAGAGGAACACCGGUGGCGAAGGCGGCCAACUGGACGAAUACUGACGCUGAGACACGAAAGCGUGGGGAGCAAACAGG
rnacentral:rRNA from 1 species